ACUGCUCCACUGUGAUAACGCAGCUCGCGUCGUUUAUCUGCAGAUGAGCUCUGUAGCUCGCGACACUCUGUUCCUCUCUUAUGUAAAUGAGAGAUGCAGUCAGAUGUAAACCUGAAGAAUAGAAAUCAUCGGGAUGCCCAGAGGGUUGGAUCCGAAGAGGUCAAGCAAAACAAAUACACAACGUCCUCCAUUUUAUCACUGUGGAAAGAUUUAGUGUUGGACAACAGCUGAAGUCAGAGCAGGAAGUUCAGUGUUCAGUGUUUUAUGACCACCUUCUAACCGGAACCAAACCCUCACAGUUGUUUGAAGAAAUGAGCAAUGGACCAAAUGCCUUCACUCUGACCGCUCAGCAGCCAGAUGCAUCCAUUGUCCCGGCCUGUCAUGGACCAGCCGGCAAUUCUUCUCCAUGCUCGAUGAUCGGCUACUGUCAGUGAAACUCAACACUUCCUACAGAUGUUUCACAUAAAAAUGUGCCAGGAAAAGUUGGAAUUCUGCUCUCUGAGCCACUAAGAGGUAAUAUGAAACAUCUGCACAGGAAGUCUGCACAGAAGACUGCAGGGAUGUAACGAUGCGAUUCAUGAUACAAACACUGGGUUUAUGAUUUUCUCCAGAUUUUUAUUUAUUUUCUUUGAUAUGUCUCUAUUAUUAUGCAACAUAAUAUAAAACAUUAUAUAUGAAGUUGUAUUCAUGUUACAUUUAAUCUUGUUCGCCAACUUUCUUCCUCACUCUCUCGACGUAUACGGUGUAUAUCCGGAAGGAAAUGACGGAACAUUGUUGGAAACAUUUGGGAUAAUAACUCCGUCCAAUCAUUCUCUCUCUUGUUGUCUCAAUGUCAUUUAGUCCCCUUUUAUAUUUCCUCCCUGUCAUCCCCUCGUUCUCCCUCUGGCAGCACAGCACUUUGGUUAAAAGUGGUUGAAAUUAAUAUUGGAUGACUUUCUCACUCUUUUUCUCACAUUGGCUGCAGACUGUGUGGAGAUUAAAGCAUGUGUGAUGAGUUAAUACAAUGGAAUAAAAAAACAUUGUUCUGUUUUAAGAACACCCAUGAGCCUGUUCCUCUAAUGUGAGUUCAUGUAGAUCAGUUAUCUCAGUUGGUAUCCAGCAGCAGCAUCUCAUUAUAUUUGAUUGAUCUUUUAUCAGAUGUGUAACAGUUUCCAACAGCUACAACAUUCAAUUUUAUCCUAGUUUUUUUGGCAUUCCCAAUUCUUUCCAUGUGAUCCUUGAUUCAAAAGUCCAUAGUCCUUUUACUUAACCCGUAAUUUACUAAAAUGUAGAAAAACAUUAUUUCUAGUAUUGUUUUGGAAUCAAUACUGUAACAUCAGCAUUAGUAUUGAAACAUUUCCUACAACACUCAAACCGGAUUGUAGGAACUAGUUCGCAGGUUAGCACCCGUCAGCACAGCAACUUUCCUUCCUUCCUUUUGUCCUGAAGUGCUGCCCCGCCGACUCACCAGCUCCUUACGAUACAUGCUGGCUGUCUCUUUCCCUUUCUCCUUGUGUUUCUUUAAUUCAUUCUGGAGCCUGUCUAACCGGCUCAUGGGAAGUUUUGGAAGGUUCCGCAUCAGUUGGAAGAGCGACUGUGCUCGAAAUGCUGACGAUUGGUCCUUUUCACUCUAAUCAGGAAGUUUCUGAGUCUCUCCAAGACUUUCCCCGGCCCAUUUGAGGUCCUGAAUUCUGAAGGAAAAUAGAAGUGGGAACAAAAGUUUGGAUUUGUUCUCUUCUCUGUCACCCAAGACAAAUCAUUGGAAAGGACAUUUUUACCAUCAGGGCUGAGAGGAAAGAGCUUGGCCAGGUCUGAAAAAACACUUACCUCAAAAUGAAAUGCACUUUUCUCCUGGUUUAUUGGGAGGGCAGUGUGCCACAGCCGGCUGGAGCCAGAACAACUGUUAAUGCCCCAGUUUGAGCUUUUUAUCUGAAACUCUGCUCCCUGUUUAAAGAAAAAAAUCUAAUAAAGGAGCAGAAACUGUGUUUGCAGGCAAUGGUUAUAGCAGCUGUGUGGAGGUGGACACACAUUUGAGGGACUGAUUUAUUCCUCACAAAGAGGUGCCUCAUUUACAUAAAUAUUUCAGUCCACAGCCACAUUACUGAGGUCAAUCGUUAUCACACGAUCCAGUCAUAUUGUGAUUGAAGUAAACCUAUUAAAAGGUGUUUAUAGCUGGUUAUGAAACAGUCUCAAUGUAAAACUGAUGCCUCUAUAGAACUAAUAAACAAACAAAACCAUCAGCGAGAAGAUUGGUUAUUUCUAAAUAAUUAUUCAUAAUUAUUGCUACUGGGACAGAUUCCCCUUGAAAUCAAUGAAACAAGGUGAUAGAAACAUGUGAUUUUCUCCACAGGGACCACCAGAAUCAUCACAAAAGGGCAUUUCCUUGUGGGGGCUUUAAGAACCAUUUUUACCGGCAAUUCUAAAAUUGUUCAAACCAGUGGAAGCAUGGACGUUUUAGCCAAUGCAUGGCUGUAGGAAUGAAACUGAUGGAUGGUCGGUCUGCCACUUGGGUUCAGUGUGAAAUAUCAAAACGACCAUUAGAUUGAUUACCAUGGAAUUUUGUUCAGACAUUUAUGGUCGUCAGAAAUUUAGAUCUUUAGUGAUCGCCUGACUUUUAGUCUAGCACCAUCUUUGGGCCAAAUUUUAAAUUACUUUAUUCCUACACAUCUAAUAACAUUCCCAUCAGCCUCAAAUGUACAUUUUGUUUAGUGCUAAUUAGCUGAUGUUACCAUGCCAACAUGCUAUUAAAUCUCGCUAUCAUAGAAAUAUAUCUGCAUCAGCCUUUAAGCUGCAGUGGUUACUCAGUCUGAAGUUUAACAAAACAGAGUGAAAGACCUGGAAAUGGAAACCAUGCAAGUGGUUCAACAAGUGGUGAGACAGGCCACCAAAUCAGAGCUCAGAGUCUUUAUUUUGGACUUUGUGUUAGUGUUACUAAGGUUUGUUUCAGAACGUAAAAUAUGCUUCAGUGCUGCCAACACACACACACACGCCUGGGAGAAUUGUGUUCCCCAUAAAUCCCAGGAUCUCAAUUGGUGUGCCGGAGUGACGGACGUGUCUCUCAGGCUUUAUACAACUCUCUCUUCCUCACUUCCUCUGUUUCACAUCUCCAUCAUUUCCCAUUUUGUGCGGUCUGACCCCAUUUCUCACAUCCCUGACUCUCUUCUCACUCACUGCCUCCAUCUUUCUGUUCAGUUGUCUCUCAGUCACUCUCCUCUCCUCUGCUAAUUAUUCAGUCCCGCUGGGGUUUCUCUCUCUAACCCAUUUUCUGUUUCUCCUCGCUCGGCGGGGCGCUUCCCCCUCGGCUGCUCUGUUUGCUUAUUUCCACUUUACACAGAAAGAGUAUCUAAAAUAACGCACGGUGCUCCCCACGUGUGCUAAAUAUGACGUUUAAAUAUAAAAGAUGUCUUUUUGAUUACAUGCGUGUUUGCUGCUUGCAGUUGUCGUAUGUAUGUGUGUGUGUGUGUGUGUGUGUGUGUAUGUGUAUUAGUGCAUUUGUCACCCUGUAUUAGCCGACCCAUGCAUCUUCUGCAGCGUGCCCGCCAACUGCAUCCAUGAGAGAUUCAAUUAUACGCUGUUUUAGGACACACAAACGUCCAUACACACACACUUUGAAGUGCUCCGGUUCAUGUUAUCCACCCACAUCCCCCCUCCCCCCCGAACACUCCCUCCAUCACUUACUUUUCUCAUUUAAUAAAACCCCACUUCACUACACCAUUACCUCUAAAACAAUCUCUUCCUCAUUUAUCUUUUUCUCCUCCAUUCCUCCCUCGCCCUCUUAUCUAAUCGUACCUCCAGCCCGUCCUCGCUCUCCUCUGUGGAAAAUUUUGUUAUACAUCUUGCAUUCUGCAAUUUAUUCUUCCCAUUUGUCAUUUCAUUACUUGGCUUAUAAAGCAAUCUCCCCCCUCCUCUUCUCUUUCUUCCUUCGUUCUCUGCUGCUUCUUUUGUUCAUAAUUCUGUCUAUUUUUUCCACUGGAUCCAAUUGUAGAAAAAUGAUCUGUUUGACUUGAUUUCAGAAAUGGGAAAAGCAGUAGAAGUAUCUGAACCAAAGCCGUCUUUUCGACCUCAAAUCGCAUGAUUCCCCUCAACUUUAAACCCUAGGAAAACAGCAUCCGUUUGUCUCCCUCGCUCACAUAUCAUUCAUCAUGUCUCCCAAAUUGUAAAUCUAUCUGUAAAUCCAUCUUUUGGAGCCCUUGAUCCGUGGGUAAUUCUGAAAUGGAAGCUCAUGCUUUUUCUUGCGUGACCCACAUGGAUCAGGCUGGAAACCUGACAACCUCCAGCCCAGGGAGGAGCGGCCUUGGUGGUUCUUGAUGACAGCACAGGCAGCCCUGUGCUCGUAUCAACCAGCGAACGGUAAAUCUCCGCAAAUCCAGAAACUGUUGAGGGUGGCGUUUUUCUCAGAAGAAAACCUGAAAAGCAGCCACGCUACCAUUAGACACUGGCAGCGAGGGGAGACAAAGAAAAUGAGUAAGGUAUUAGUGAGGAUCGAGGUGAGAAAAUCUCAUCACGGACUCGAAACGCCAGCUCCCGCUCUCCAGAAAGGGCCAAUCGUCGUCAAUUACUGGAGUAAGCAAGUGAGAGACGGAGGGAGCGUGAGAAAAAGAGGACUGAGGGAUUUGUGAACCUCCGCCUGGUGCAAUCACUGUCACAGAGAGAGCGGGGUGAUAAAGAGAAUAAGUGUCAGAGCCUGAUAGCUGCAGGGUGAAAUUGCCAUCAUUAAACAGUCACAGAGGAGAGGAGAGAAGAUUUUCUCUGUCGAAGUCUUUCUAAAAGUGUCCGAACUUAACCAGUAAAUACUGCCUCUUUCAACUCUGCUAACCUUUUGUUCUUUCUUGCUUUUUUCCAACUGCAGUUUUUUUCAAGAGCAGUUCCUGAGGGAAAUAUUGCACUUUUCAUUUCACUACGGUUAUCUAACAACUACUAGUUGAUGAUUAAGAUUGUAUAAAGAAAAUAUAUAAUAAUCUUAUAAAAUAUGAGGCAUUAUCAAAGAUUAAACUAUCCAACAGUAUGUAAAGUAGCUAUAAUUAGCUCCACCUACACGAGCAACACCAUUAAAUUUACACAUUAAUGUAUCAGUAAUAAUGUUCCAUUAAUAAUUAUAAUGCUUUUGGCUUCUUUGGGUCAGUGCAUCCAGCUGUAGGUGUAACAUUGAAAUAUUAUCACCAUGUAAAGUUGUUAUAGGCUAAUGUUUAGCAUACAUUAGCCUACACACACAUGCAGCAGAGAGGGGUUUGAGUCCACUUGACAAAUUAAAGUCCAGUAUUCACUCUACUUUUUAGCUCUGGUUUGGUCUCCUCCUCCUCCUGUUUUUAGCGAUCCAGAGGAUUUGGCUCAGCUCAGCAAGAAGAGUCGGCUCUUUCAGAUCCCAAACGACUCCUCAUUUAGUUUAUAAUUCAGUCCAAUGUUGUAAUAUUUUGACCUAUGAUUAGUGUGUGCUUCUUAAUCACAUAAAUUAUUCAAUGUAAUUAUACAAAACCUUAAUAAACUGUAUUUUUAAUUUCCAGA